rnacentral:tRNA from 8 species
GGGCGCUUAGCUCAGCGGUAGAGCGCUCGCCUUACAAGCGAGAUGUCACUGGUUCGAACCCAGUAGUGCCCACCA